rnacentral:rRNA from 1 species
GACGAACGCUGGCGGCGUGCUUAACACAUGCAAGUCGAACGGAAAGGCCCUGCUUGCAGGGUACUCGAGUGGCGAACGGGUGAGUAACACGUGGGUGAUCUGCCCUGCACUUCGGGAUAAGCCUGGGAAACUGGGUCUAAUACCGGAUAGGAGCCAUUUUUAGUGUGAUGGUUGGAAAGUUUUUUCGGUGUAGGAUGAGCUCGCGGCCUAUCAGCUUGUUGGUGGGGUAAUGGCCUACCAAGGCGGCGACGGGUAGCCGGCCUGAGAGGGUGGACGGCCACAUUGGGACUGAGAGACGGCCCAGACUCCUACGGGAGGCAGCAGUGGGGAAUAUUGCACAAUGGGCGCAAGCCUGAUGCAGCGACGCCGCGUGGGGGAUGACGGCCUUCGGGUUGGAAACUCCUUUCGCUAGGGACGAAGCUUUUUGUGACGGUACCUAGAUAAGAAGCACCGGCUAACUACGUG